rnacentral:rRNA from 1 species
UACGUAGGGGGCAAGCGUUGUUCGGAUUCAUUGGGCGUAAAGGGUGCGUAGGCGGCCUGCUAAGUCGGACGUGAAAUCCCUCGGCUCAACCGGGGAACUGCGUCCGAUACUGGUGGGCUUGAAUCCGGGAGAGGGAUGUGGAAUUCCAGGUGUAGCGGUGAAAUGCGUAGAUAUCUGGAGGAACACCGGUGGCGAAGGCGGCAUCCUGGACCGGUAUUGACGCUGAUGCGCGAAAGCCAGGGGAGCAAACGGG